rnacentral:rRNA from 1 species
GGGUGCGUAACACGUAUGCAAUCUACCCUUAACUGGGGGAUAGCCCCGAGAAAUCGGGAUUAAUACCCCAUAAUAUUACGGAGAGGAGUCUCCCUGUAAUUAAAGCUUCGGCGGUUUUGGAUGAGCAUGCGCGACAUUAGCUAGUUGGUGAGGUAACGGCUCACCAAGGCUUCGAUGUCUAGGGGUUCUGAGAGGAUUCACCCCCACACUGGUACUGAGACACGGACCAGACUCCUACGGGAGGCAGCAGUAAGGAAUAUUGGUCAAUGGACGCAAGUCUGAACCAGCCAUGCCGCGUGAAGGAAGACGGCCCUACGGGUUGUAAACUCCUUUUACGGGGGAAGAGGAAGGACGGUACCCCGAGAAUAAGUCACGGCUAACUACGUGCCAGCAGCCGCGGUAAUACGUAGGGUGCAAGCGUUGUUCGGAAUUACUGGGCGUAAAGGGCGCGUAGGCGGUAAUAUAAGUCAAAUGUGAAAUCCUCCAGCUUAACUGGAGAACAGCAUCUGAAACUGUGUAACUAGAGUACAGGAGAGGGAAACGGAAUUCCCGGUGUAGAGGUGAAAUUCGUAGAUAUCGGGAGGAACACCAGUGGCGAAGGCGGUUUCCUGGCCUGAUACUGACGCUGAGGCGCGAAAGCGUGGGGAGCAAACAGGAUUAGAUACCCUGGUAGUCCACGCUGUAAACGGUGAGCACUAGGUGUGGGAGGUGUAA